rnacentral:sRNA from 1 species
CUCAGGGGCCAUGAGUUUGAGCUUGGCUGGUUCCGCCGCAACAAUGUGCAAGAAACAGACCUUGAGUCUCCUCCACAGCUCAUCAUCGAUCCAGUGUGGUGAUUGAUUGAUGCCUGUAGGUUUACAUACACAUUUCUUCUCUUUGUUUGCCCCUUAUUCUCCAGUUUUAUUUUAUUUGAUAUUUUAUGUUUAUUUUACAUCACUCUUUGUUUUAAAUGUUAUAUGAAAUCCGAGCAUUGCAUGUAAAAAUAGCAACAUUUCUGCCUGAACCGUGGAUGAAAGGAGUUGUGGAAAAUCCCUCGAAGAUCGAAAGCUGCAGCGGCCCCAUGGGAAAUAUCUUCUUUCGAAUUGAUUUUCCAGUGGUCAUAGGCACCCAGGGCCCAAGUACCAAGUCCCAAAUCCCCUGGCUCGGAAAGGCUGUUUGCUUGGAAAUCCAACAAGUGAUAAAACAUGGUUUGCGGGUUUCACCUUUAACUUCUUCCCAUAUUUGAAAAUAAUCUGGAAGUUCAGGAACAGGAACAAAAGUUUCAUCACCGAUAAAACAAAUAACCCCUCUAUCCCGCUUUACUUUCUCUUCAUCCACCAAAAAAGAAAAAGAAAAAAAAAGAAAAAAAAAGAGAACGAACAGUGGUAAUAUCUCAUUCAAUGAUGACUGCAGACAUCCAUGCUCAAGAACUAGUAUGACACACAAAUGCUCAGCAGCAGAAUUGCUCAUCUCUUUUCUACAGAUUGCCAUCCUAAUUACAUCCGCCCGCAGGAGGCCGCAAUGAAAGCUUAUUUGGUGGAGACCUUUCAUCCCUUAUUUACAAACCUUCGCCCAAGUUGUUGGACGCGUCUCUCGAAAGUAAUAGACUUAUCCAAGGAUGCAUGAGGAAUAACUCGACCAAAAAAAAACCCCCCGGAUAUCCAUCCCAAAAGAGGAGAACGAGUCCUCAAAGAGAUAUAGACGGGAGUUUCUUCUACAGUAAGCCGAUAGAAAAAUAACUACUAAAUUUCUUCCCUGACCUUUGUUGCCAGAUAGAUGAUAGAUUCUCCCGAAUGGGCUUCGUCAGGCCUGGAGGCGUUCAUAGCUAACUUUUUUUCAGUUUUUGAAACGUCCCAGUCAAUGAUGGUAAUUGUAAGGUAGCUGUCAGAGAGGCAUUUGCAAUGUCCUAGGAGUUGACACUAUCAUUAACGUUGCUGGGAUGUUGUAUUCGCAUUUGCGAUUCUCGAUAGCGGAUGGGGUUUAUGUGCAGCUCCUGAUGAAUCGCAAGCACGAAUUAACGAAUGCAGGUGUUAUAUGAAUCCUCCUUCAUUCGUGCCGCCAAAGCUCUGUUGCUAUGAGUCCGAGUUUGCAGUUUAAAAGCAAUAAGCCGAGCAGUAACGCGUCUUUAAGCUAACCUUGGCAGUGAUGACAAUUUGGGUCAUGCCGCUAUGAGCGGUGUCCAAAAUUGCGGAUCAUGUUUAUUCCCCAGUCUGCAGGCGCAGGUUUUAAGGGCAAUCGCUGCCGUGAUGUUCUUGUAUGGAAAACGCUCAAGCAGCUUGGUACAAAUAUUACAUUGGCGAGAGCCUGAUGUCAGAUUUGCUGGACUCUCAAAUUUUGAGUUUAGAAACCGUACGCCGUACGGUAUAUACAAGAUUGCGAGCAAACAAGAAUGAUCAUCAAAUCGUCAAGUCAUGAGAAGGAUUAAGGAUCAUAAGACAUGGGACGCCCGCUGAGUCUGGAUGAAUCUUCUGUCAAAGAAAUGAGACGAAAAGGGCCAUUAGGUGAAGAGAGUAGGUACAAGAUGGAGAAGAGAUACGUGGACCCAAAAUGAAUAUUCAUAUCCAAGAAAAAGAAAUAGCGCGUGCACACAAACCUCUAAAGACGCCGGCUCACGACGUCGGCUUCCGUCCGUACACAAUGGAAACAGGCACAUAACAAUGAAUCGACCGAUCAGCCAUAGCCUCCCGAAACUUGGCCAGCAGGACCUGCACCUCCGCCAUGUCCCAGCCCAUCACCCUGGUCAGCAGCGCCAACGCCCACCCAUCCAUCCCUUGCAGGCACUCCAGAUAAUAAAACCUCCCCACCUCCUUGAGCGCCUUAUCCUUCGGCCACGAACCCAGGGGCAUCUUCAACCUCGUCUCCGUAACGUCCACAAAACCCGCCUUCUCCAUCUCCUCCCGCUGCCGUUCCAUGAUCGUCGUCGUCUUCCCCAGCCGCUCGCCCACUUCGCGGAACUCGCGCCUCCAGAUAUUCAACGCGUGCUUCUCGUCGGCCGGUAUCGUGUUGUCGUCUGAUUCCAUCCACACGGCGCGGUUGGCGACCUGGACGUAGCCGCCCGGUUUGGUGGUCUCGUAGCACUGGGCGAGGAAUUCGGACCAGUCCGGGAUGCAGCCGAAGAGGUCGCGGACGUGGAUGAAGUCCAUUGAGUUUUUCCCGUAGGUCCAGGGAUACUCGGUGCAGUCGUCAAUCAUGAAGGAGACAUUGGGAGGGACCCAGGUAGGUUGUGUGGGUGAUAACUCGGUGCCGAUAACUGUGGCUUGCGGGUGUUCUUCAGCGAAAUCGAUGGCCCAGAUGCCUGUUUAAUGGAACAUGAUUAGCUAAUAUAUAUAUUGCUUUUUGCUUUGCUUGAAUCCUUGAUAGGCGGAGCGGAGUGUCUGAAUUUGGAUUUGGGCAGCGGUGGGUAGGUAGGUAGAUUUUGUUGUCGUAUAGGUUGAAGGAAGGACGAUAUGGAAAAAAUCGGCUCAAAAACAUACCCGUUCCGGUCCCGACAUCGAGAACUUUCUGAGGAUUCCUUAUCGGUGCCAGAUAUAACUUUUUCUUCAGCAGGAGGAGGUAAGCAUGAUGCCCGAUAUCUAACGUCUCGUUCGCUUUCUCGUCGUUCGGCGCAUAGUAGGCUCCGUCUUUAUAGCCAUGAUAUCGUCUCCCGUGCUCA